rnacentral:rRNA from 1 species
GACGAACGCUGGCGGCGUGCCUAAUACAUGCAAGUAGAACGCUAAAGGAGGAGCUUGCUUCUCCGGAUGAGUUGCGAACGGGUGAGUAACGCGUAGGUAACCUGCCUGGUAGCGGGGGAUAACUAUUGGAAACGAUAGCUAAUACCGCAUAAGAGUAGAUGUCGCAUGACAUUUGCUUAAAAGUUGCAACUGCACCACUACCAGAUGGACCUGCGUUGUAUUAGCUAGUUGGUGAGGUAACGGCUCACCAAGGCAACGAUACAUAGCCGACCUGAGAGGGUGAUCGGCCACACUGGGACUGAGACACGGCCCAGACUCCUACGGGAGGCAGCAGUAGGGAAUCUUCGGCAAUAGACGGAAGUCUGACCGAGCAACGCCGCGUGAGUGAAGAAGGUUUUCGGAUCGUAAAGCUCUGUUGUAAGAGAAGAACGAGUGUGAGAGUGGAAAGUUCACACUGUGACGGUAUCUUACCAGAAAGGGACGGCUAACUACGUG